rnacentral:rRNA from 1 species
UACGUAGGGAGCAAGCGUUGUCCGGAAUCAUUGGGCGUAAAGCGCGCGUAGGUGGCCCCAUAAGUCCGCUGUGAAAGUCAAAGGCUCAACCUUUGAAAGCCGGUGGAUACUGUGGGACUAGAGUACGGAAGAGGCGAGUGGAAUUCCUGGUGUAGCGGUGGAAUGCGCAGAUAUCAGGAGGAACACCGAUGGCGAAGGCAGCCCCCUGGGUCAAGACUGACGCUCAUGCACGAAAGCGUGGGGAGCAAACAGG